AUUCAAAUGUUCAGGCCAACUUCAGAGAAUGCCAAGCAAGAUCCACUUCAACAGAUCAUAAUUUAUACUGGCAGCUGGACAAACAAAAGCAGAGUGACGCAUGAACCGGCUUAAGAAAAUUGCCAAUCCUCCACCAACUGCUUGUUAUAUUACUCUUAAAUGUUUCUAAAUAGGUCAGUUAGAAUAACAUUAUGUGGGCCAUAGUAAGUCAGAAGAAAAUAAAUGUCACUUUUAGCAAGUUGAACUCUUCUAAAUACCUUCACUUUGGUCCUUUUAUUUAACUAUUAACCGGCUGAGGGCAAAAAAACAAAAUUGUCAUGGUUUUGUAGUGGUCAGCAGUUUCAAUGAUUCACAUUUCAAUGUGGCCCUGUGACAGCCAUGGGUCUUUUCCAGGUGGUUUUUGGCACUACCUACAUCGCUGGUCACACAAUGUAUUUUGCCUUGGAGACUGGAAUAAUAAUAACAAUGACCAACUCAGAAAACCACAGCUUCACUCUGGCAGAGGUUCUGAGCCAAAAGCUCUGAGAUCCUGAGCUCUAGGAUGGAAAGGGGGUCCAGAAUCUCGGGUCACGCAGCCUCCCCUUCAUCGAUAUUCAAAUGACAAGCUCUUCCUAUUCAAGAUGGAGUUGCUUUGGCUCACAUGCCUCUGACAAGAUCAACAGCAGAAAUAAAGAGUGCAGCGGUGCGAUCUUGACUCACUGCAACCUCUGCCUCCUGGCUUCAAGUGAUCCUCCUGCCUCAACCUCUCAAGUAGCUGGGACUACAGGUGGGCACCACCACACCCAGCUAAUUCAUGUUUUUAGUAGAGGUAGGGUUUCACCAUGUUGGCCAGAUGGUCUUGAUCUCUUGACCUCAUGAUCUGCCCACCUCAGACUCCCAGGGUGCUGGGAUUACAGGUGUGUGCCACUGUGCUUGACCAAUGUCUCCAUUUUUUAAAAACCACUUUCACACCUGAGUGUCCAAAUAAUUGGGACAAGGAAAAUAAAGCUACUGAAAUAUGGAAAGAAGACUAACA
rnacentral:lncRNA from 13 species